rnacentral:rRNA from 1 species
AUUGAACGCUGGCGGCAGGCCUAACACAUGCAAGUCGAAUGGUAACAGGAAACAUCUUGCUGUUUCGCUGACGAGUGGCGGACGGGUGAGUAAUGUCUGGGAAACUGCCUGAUGGAGGGGGAUAACUACUGGAAACGGUAUCUAAUACCGCAUAACGUCGCAAGACCAAAGAGGGGGAACUUCGGGCCUCUUGCCAUCAGAUGUGCCCCGAUGGGAGUAGCUUGUAGGUGGGGUAACGGCUCACCUAGGCGACGAUCCCUAGCCGGUCCGAGAGGAUGACCAGCCACACUGGAACUGAGCCACGGUCCAGACUCCUACGGGAGGCAGCAGUGGGGAAUAUUGCACAAUGGGGGCAAGCCUGAUGCAGCCAUGCCGCGUGUAUGAAGAAGGCCUUCGGGUUGUAAAGUACUUUCAGCGGGGAGGAAGGGAGUAAAGUUAAUACCUUUGCUCAUUGACGUUACCCGCAGAAGAAGCACCGGCUAACUCCGUG